rnacentral:lncRNA from 1 species
GCCCAGACUACCUAGUUGCCAUCAAAUCUAAAUAACCAAUGCCUUGCAUAAAAUUUAUGUGGUUGUUCAUCAUGUUUCGUGUUCACAUUAUUCCUUGAAGAUUUGAGAACACAAUCCAUUGGUGAAAUCAUUUAAUUCAUUUUUGAAUUCAUGCAACCACGUUGGAGAUAAAACAUCAAAUUCAUUGAAUCUAAAACACCUACUUCCUAAACAUUAUUAGGAAUGUACUUUCUCAAUUGAACUUUAGAGGCUACUGAAAAUUGAGAGAGGUUGGAUUACAAGCGCAGGAAGAGUACAAGAAUUGGUCAUUCUUGGUGAUCCACUUGGAAGAGACAAUUGUUGGAGAUCGAGAGUUGGUGGUUUCAGCAGGAUCUUGGAGAUUACAGGAAGUAAAUCGAGAAGUCUAGUGAGUUGGCUAGGUAGCAUCCAACUAUAAAUCCUUAUUGUCUAUAGUGAAGGUAACUAAAUUGGUCCCUAAGUUUUUAAUUCGGCAAGAGGUUUUCUCUGUCAACAUAUCUGGUGCUAUUUAUUGUUUUCUUAUUACAAGCCGCGGCAAUUCAAUUUAGGAUAAUUGGAUUGUUUGAUUCACCAUUUAGAAACAAUUAAAAAAUGACUUGUUAUUUUUAAUUAUGUUAAUUCCGCACGAAAGGUUAAACUUAAUCUGUAAUCUAUAUCUCUUUCACUCAACUUUCCUUUCAACCUCCACAAUCUCUUCUUCCUCCUUCAAUCUAUCAGCCAAGUUCUCUUCCUUCUCCCUUUGUCUCCUUUUCCUCUCAUCACCAGUCUUAUAUUUUCUCUUUUUUCCAUAACCAUCAUCAUUAUAAUGCUCUUGGUCUCCAAUUUCCCAC